ACACAUGGACACAGGGAGGGGAACAUCACACAGUGGGGCCUGUUGGGGGCUGGAGAGCUAGGGGAGAGAUAGCCUUAGGAGAAAUACCUAAUGUAGAUGAUGGGUUGAUGAGGGCAGCAAACCAUCAUAACACAUAUAUACCUGCAUAACAAACCUGCAUGUUCUGCACAUGUAUCUCAGAACUUAAAGUACAAUAAAAUAUACACAUAAAAAUAAAUGAAUUUCUGUCCCAGAAAAUUUUAAAAAAUUAAAAUAAGAGGUAGUGAGGCAAGGCAAAAAUUGCAAAUAGAAAAAAACUUCUAUCAUUUCUAGGCUGGAGGGACAAAGAGAACAGGCAGUGUUACCAGAUUCCAAGAGUCAGAGUUACCUAGCAGAAGCUCAAAGCACAAAUCCCUGUCAGGACAAGCUGGAGUCAUUAAGAAGAUAAAGCCCUGGCCAGGCGCUGUGGCUCAAGCCUGUAAUCCCAGCACUUUGGGAGGCCAAGGCGGGUGGAUCAUGAGGUCAAGAGAUCGAGACCAUCCUGGUCAACAUGGUGAAACCCCAUCUCUACCAAGGCAGCAGGACCAACGUAGAGACUGGGUUUCACCAUGUUGGUCAGGCUGGUCUUGAACUCCUGAUCUCAGGUGAUCUACCCUCCUCAGCCUCCCAAAGUGCUGGGAUUACAGGCAUGAACCUCGGCACCCAGCCUAGUUUUAGCAUUUUAAAAUAUCUACAUUCAAAUGCAGUCUUUUGUAGGUAGAACGUAUUUCAUGAUCUUUUUAUAUGGAAGGAAAAUAUGGCUCUUCGAAAAGACUAAUAAAAUGGACACCCCUGACA
rnacentral:lncRNA from 13 species